GGCUCCCUGUAAAAAAUAAAUAAGGAGUCGGACCUGCCCGGUGAAUUUUUUAAACGGCCGCGGUACUCUGACCGUGCAAAGGUAGCAUAAUCAUUUGCCUUAUAAUUGAAGGCUAGUAUGAAUGGUUUGACAAGAAUAUAGCUGUCUCUUUUUGAUUUUAUAGAAUUUUAUUUAAAGGUGAAGAAGCCUUUUUCGCAUUAAAAGACAAGAAGACCCUAUCGAGCUUAAAAGGAGUAAUAGAAUUAACAUAAAUUGAUAAAAUUAAAAAGUUUCGCUAUUAACAAUUUUAGUUGGGGCGACUGAGGAACAUAAAAAGCUUCCUUUAACAAACUUAGAUAUUUACAAAUAUUGACCCAAAGUUUUUGAUUAAGGAAAUUAGUUACCGUAGGGAUAACAGCAUUAUCUUUUUUAAGAGUUCUUAUCGAAAAAAAGGUUUGUGACCUCGAUGUUGGACCAGAAUAUCCUAAAGAUGCAGCAGUCUUUAAGGGUUGGUCUGUUCGACCAUUAAAAUUCUACG
rnacentral:rRNA from 1 species